rnacentral:misc_RNA from 1 species
UAAUAAGUGUUUUAUGGCACUUUUUUAAAUCCAUAUCCACCUUGUGUGCAAUGUCAGUCGAUCUUCUUCAUGGAGAUCGACCAAACAUCAACCUUUAUCUUUUAACUCUUUGUCUGAAAAAUAUUAUGAAUAAAACAAUUCAAAAUA